rnacentral:rRNA from 1 species
GACGAACGCUGGCGGCGUGCCUAAUACAUGCAAGUAGAACGCUGAAGGAGGAGCUUGCUUCUCUGGAUGAGUUGCGAACGGGUGAGUAACGCGUAGGUAACCUGCCUGUUAGCGGGGGAUAACUAUUGGAAACGAUAGCUAAUACCGCAUAAGAGUAUAUGUUGCAUGACAUUUGCUUAAAAGGUGCAAUUUCAUCACUACUAGAUGGACCUGCGUUGGAUUAGCUAGUUGGUGGGGUAACGGCUUACCAAGGCGACGAUACAUAGUCGACCUGAGAGGGGGAUCGGCCAAACUGGGACUGAGACACGGCCCAGACUCCGACGGGAGGGAGCAGUAGGGAAUCUUCGGCAAUGGACGGAAGGCUGACCGAGCAACGCCGCGUGAGGGAAGAAGGGUGUCGGAUCGGAAAGAUCUGUUGUAAGAGAAGAAAGAGAGGGAGAGUGGAAAGUGCACACUGUGACGGUAUCUAACCAGAAAGGGACGGCUAACUACGUG